GAUGAACGCUGGCGGCGUGCCUAAUACAUGCAAGUCGAGCGAACGGACGAGAAGCUUGCUUCUCUGAUGUUAGCGGCGGACGGGUGAGUAACACGUGGAUAACCUACCUAUAAGACUGGGAUAACUUCGGGAAACCGGAGCUAAUACCGGAUAAUAUUUUGAACCGCAUGGUUCAAAAGUGAAAGACGGUCUUGCUGUCACUUAUAGAUGGAUCCGCGCUGCAUUAGCUAGUUGGUAAGGUAACGGCUUACCAAGGCAACGAUGCAUAGCCGACCUGAGAGGGUGAUCGGCCACACUGGAACUGAGACACGGUCCAGACUCCUACGGGAGGCAGCAGUAGGGAAUCUUCCGCAAUGGGCGAAAGCCUGACGGAGCAACGCCGCGUGAGUGAUGAAGGUCUUCGGAUCGUAAAACUCUGUUAUUAGGGAAGAACAUAUGUGUAAGUACUGUGCACAUCUUGACGGUACCUAAUCAGAAAGCCACGGCUAACUACGU
rnacentral:rRNA from 1 species